rnacentral:rRNA from 1 species
CUUGACAUGUUAGUGGUAAGAACCUGAAAGGGGAGUGACCUGUAGCAAUACAGGAGCUAACACAGGUGCUGCAUGGCUGUCGUCAGCUCGUGCCGUGAGGUGUUGGGUUAAGUCCCGCAACGAGCGCAACCCUUAUCCUAUGUUACCUCGCAAGAGGGUCUCUUAGGAAACUGCCGGCGAUGAGCUGGAGGAAGGUGGGGACGACGUCAAGUCAUCAUGGCCCUUAUGUCCAGGGCUACACACGUGCUACAAUGGCUUCUACAGAGGGAUGCAAGACCGCGAGGUGGAGCCAAUCCCCAAAGAAGUCGUAGUUGGGAUCGGAGUCUGCAACUCGACUCCGUGAACCUGGAAUCGCUAGUAAUCGCGGAUCAGAACGCCGCGGUGAAUACGUUCCCGGGCCUU